rnacentral:misc_RNA from 1 species
GUUCAGAUAUCCGGGCUCCUACUUCAUCAACAGUUAGCCAAAUGGAAACUGGUUCCAACACUCGACGUGCAAACUUGAAUAGGGGAGCACCUCAAGGAAAUGCAAGCAUGGCAUGGGGAACUGGUCAUGGGUCAGUUCAGCAACGAACUAAUUCAACUCCAGCUGUUUCUACGGGUAAUGUGGGUGUAGGCAGUUGGGGAAGCCAACCAAGAAAUGGCGGGGACAACAGAUAUUCUAGUCCAAGAGACCACCGUAGUUACUAUUUUCAAGGUCGAGAAUCAGGGUUUUG